rnacentral:sRNA from 1 species
AAAAAAAAAUUGAACAAAG